GGUGGGGUUCCCGAGUGGCCAAAGGGAACAGACUGUAAAUCUGUCGGUAUACACCUUCGGAGGUUCAAAUCCUCCCCCCACCACCA
rnacentral:tRNA from 2 species